GCAGCAGUGGCUUCAGUAAUGUAGGUCCACCAGGUGUUCAGGGUUACUCUAAUCAAUCAUCUGCAGGGUGACGAGAGACUCAGGUUAGUAACAGACUGAACCGCAGAAAUCUGAGAGCAGACGACUGACGAGCCUGAGCGUGAAGAGAAGAGCUGAAGCUGAAGCAGCAACAAUAUAUUGUCCCAGCAGAGACGAUGUUUUCACCAGUAUCCUCAGCACCGUGAUGAAUCGACCGUGACCCUGAAGAGCCUUUUUUUCUCACGCUGUGCUAUUGGAGAAAGUCCUGUCAGAGCCGGGUCGGCCUCCACGGGAGAUAUUACUGUACUCUGCCUCUUCAUCCUGAGGGAGAAACACUUUAAAGAAGCUCAGACAGCAGGAAGAACACGACUGUAAACCUGCACGCUGCCUUAUCAGUCCUGACUCAGGGCAAAAUACCCCAUUUAUAUAGAGUAAAUGUAUAGAAGGGUCUCAAACCAACAAUGAUCUACUAACAAGUAUCAUGUGUGUAUCCAGAACCUGAUAUAUCUGAUUCCUCUGCUGCAGAUUCAGUGUCUCUCUGUUAGCAGUAGUUUGCAGGUUGUACAGGCAGAUGUAAUCUACAUGCUGCUGCCCUGUGAUGCUCUUCGAUUUAUUACAGGUGACACUUUUAGAGCCCGUCAUUGUAUCUUCUAUGAGGAAGUGCUGCGGGCAUCAUUUACCACUGGAAGGGAACAACACAAUCUCUUUUUUAUUUAUAAAGCCAUCCUAAAUAAGCUGCCAUUUUAUUUAUUAUCAACUUUUAAGACUUAGAAAUAUGGGAUAUUGUACCCGUAUCACCAGAAUGUAUUACCUUGGAUAUCCAAUGUAUGAAUACAGAUUCUGGUGGAAUAAGCUUCGGUAAAAUAAAAUCCCUCCAGUUUUAAGAUUCUGCUGGAUGAUGUUUUAUAGAAUAAAUGCUCCUGUUUGUCUUAAUGUGUCUGUUUUAUUCAGGUGUAAUCAUACUUAUAUUAGUCUUUUUCUUUGCCUUCGUUUGUAUUUUUUAAGUUAUUUGUCUUGUGUUUGUGUCGUAUUUAUGUUUGAUGUAAGAUUGUUGGUUUUACACUUUUUACACGUUUUGUUCUCUGGUUGUUUUGUUGUUUGUUUGCACCACUACUACUACCACUACAGCCACCACUGCACCAUCAGAAAUGAGACUGUUGCUCUCGGUUGGUUUCUGCUGAGUAAAUAAAUAUUAUCUGUGUGUCCA